UUGUCGUCAGCUCGUGUCGUGAGAUGUUGGGUUAAGUCCCGCAACGAGCGCAACCCCUAUCUCUAGUUGCCAGCGAUUCGGUCGGGGACUCUAGAGAUACUGCCCCGGUUAACGGGGAGGAAGGUGGGGGAUGACGUCAAGUCCUCAUGGCCCUUAUGCCCAGGGCUACACACGUGCUACAAUGGGCGGUACAAAGGGUAGCGAUGCCGCGAGGCGAAGCCAAUCCCAAAAAGCCGUCCUCAGUUCGGAUUGGAGUCUGCAACUCGACUCCAUGAAGCCGGAAUCGCUAGUAAUCGCGGAUCAGCAUGCCGCGGUCGAAUACGUUCCCGGGCCUU
rnacentral:rRNA from 1 species